UGUGUAUAUAAAAAAAUAAUAAAAUUCGACAGUUAUAUUUGGAACAUUUUCCUUCAGUCUUAUACAGACCCAAUAUGACUACAAGCUUAUCGUGGUCGACCACCACGCGUCGUUACGUUCAAGUCGUGGGACCCCUCGGGCGAAAAGCUCGAAACCGGUUCUGAACGUACAGAAUGGCCGGGUAGCCGGUCAGCAUGUAUAUACGAUUGGCUACGACUUUCUAAACUUCCGUCGCGCAGCUAAACGUACGCUCAAACCGCGUGCUUUAUUUUUCAUUUUUCUCUACCGACGUGUCACGGUGAAAAUGUUUGAAAAGAAUUUACCUCGUUAAAUACUCGCGCCAUCGAGCAUUGACGCUACACACGCGAUUAGUAAUUUCGAAAAUAUUACGCUAUUACGACGCUUAAUAACAGAGCGUGAAAGGAAACGAAACGAAUGUAGAAAUAUAGAAAAUUAUAAUAGAAAGAGACGUUUCAUUAGUUUCAUUUAUUUUUAUACGAUACGAUAAAUGCAGCUGAAUUUCGCUUCUUCGAUUCUUAAAAUUUUCAACCUGUUUGUUUACGUUUCCGAUAACACUAGCCACGAAUUCCAAGAAACAAUGGAAGAACGAAAGAAAAACGAAACAACAGCUUUGAAUGAUGAUAUCAUACUGUUUAUGCGAACUCGUCAUUAACAUACUGCGAAAUUAAAUAUUAAAAAUUUCUAUAUUCUAAUGUAUGUAUAUAUGGAUAUAUUUGAAGAUGCUGUUCGUUUCGUAUUUCGAAAUAAUAUAUGAAAUGAUAGAGAAGAAAAAAGAAUUGGAAGAAAAACGCCAAUCGAAGCGCGUAAAUUUUCUAACGCGUAAUGUACGCUAGAGUCGACACAUCACGGCAUGUUGGCGUCGUCGCGGCACACGUGUAUUUACUAUUUAUGACAAAGGAUACAGCAGUUGUACGAGAAUAAACCAACCGUUAUUGCACUUCGUGCCAAACGCCAUGCAACUUUUGCACGCUACUAGCAUUCUUAAUUGCACCGGACAACGGUUUAUAUUCACGAUACUUUUCGUUCUAAGCGAUCAAACCGGCAGAAAGUUAGACGCCUACAUGCCAUGCAUACGACGCGUAAACGCUCUAAUGGACACUACGACAGCGUGUGAUAUGGAAUAAGUACAAUUGUUCAGCAGACUGCGUGACGCUAUACACCGUGGGCGUGGCAAAAUCAAGUUGUUAAUAAAGCAAUCUAUCGUAAUAUAAAAAAGUGUAUCGUUCUAUAUUCAUAGAAAUAAUACCGCAAGAAUAAUGAGGAAAAAAUCAUCAUACGACGGGUUACACAAGCACCUACCUACAUGUAAUUUAGGCGUGGAUUACAUAUGAAAUGAAACCCACAACCAUAUGGAAGAAAUCAUUGGCGGUGACAAUUACGAAUUAGAUUUUAAUCCUCGUGACACGACGGUAGCAGAAAAUUUUACCUCUUCUUUGAAGCAGUUUUGUAGGCUGCUUGAAGGUUUCAGCGCAGGUGAGCUGCGAAGGUGCUGAGCCAAGUCCAGCGAACCAGCUCAUGGUUCUCGAGCAUUUCCUUCUCCCUCGUCAUAGAAACGCAUUGACCUUCAGGACAAAAUGCCGACGAUCAAUGCAAA